AAGGUCCCCAGGGUCAGAGCUUCAGAUCCAGGGACAACACCAAGCUGUGUGACCAUGAGACCAGCUCAUGCCAAGGCCAUUUGCAGCACUGUGUGUCCCAUCCCAGCCAGGCAUGCCUGGCCUCUGAGCCACCUCAGCAUGCCUGAGCUCCUCCAGGACUGGCAUAGGAGAGGAUUUGGAAGGAGGACACCUUUUCCCUAAUGACUGAGUUACAAAGAAACCAGCUUUACUUGGUGUGUCUGAUCUUGGAGCCAUACAGCUGUUGGCUUUCCUCCGAAGAGUGAAUCAAAAAAAAAAAAAAAAAAAAAAAAAAGCAGAGGAAGGAGGGUAUUUGCUACUGUUUAACAGCCCCUGUCCAAGAGAAUACUUGUAAAAAUACAAAAAACAUUAAUUCCUGCCAUGAACCUUGGAAGAUGGCAAAAAACAGUGGAGCCAUUGAGAGUCAGGGGUGUUUGUGUAACCAUCUGACAUUGCAGAGGAAACUCAGAAAGGGGAGGAGAGAGUUUCACCCCCUGCUACAUCUUCCAAAGGUCUCUGCUACAGCUAAAGAAUCCUGCCACAGUCCAGAUUUCACUCUGGGUAGACAUACAGAUCAUGCACACAAUGUCAUUCCUAGUACUUCCAUUUUUAAAAUUUUAUUCUGUUCAGCCAAAUUAAUCUUCCUUGUGGUCAUGCCUCUCAGCUCCCUUCUUUCUCUUGUCUAGCCCCGAAGUAUCCAUCCUAAAGGCUUUUACUCUUUAGGAUGAAAAGGUAAGCUGCUUUGCAAUAUCUGCACUUUUCUGGAAGAACUUUCCAUUUAUCACUGAGGGAAGUCUAUCAAUUUCUUUCUUUGUGUAUCAUCAGAAUUUGGGAUCACUAAGAGGAAUUGAAUGUAUAUGGCAUACUUGACUGUCUGUAUACUCAUGAUAUAUAUUGGACAUUUGCUGUGACAAAAGUCUCACAUGAUUGUGUGACUGUGCAUGUGGACACUUGUGUUAGCUGCUCAGUAACUUCCUUUUUUAUUAUUGAUUGAUCAUUUAUAAGUAGCUUUUCACUUUGGAUAACUCCAGAUAGCACUUCUAUUGCAUUAAUAACUAAUUAUCUGUAUUUAGACUGAGUCCUUCAGUCUGAGAUGAUCUUUUUUUCCUAAUGCAGCUCAUAUGCCUGGGACCAGUGCAAUGGUGUGCUGGCUGGUCAGAACAUGCAUGCAAGAUACAGGUAGCUGAUCUGCAAAUAGUAGGGAACAAAGAGAACAAAAAUAACAGAGAGAGCACACACUGGCAUCAUGAUGUACCAGAACAAACACAUGGAAAUUUCCACUGGGGUUCAAGGCAAAAAGGUUGAUUUUGCAGUAUCCUUAAUUUUUGUAAGCAGUACUAGGAUAUCACACUUCGUAAUUGGUCCUUACAUCUUGAGCUUCUGGCAGGUGGUAGAGCUGGGAGGAGCAAACAGCACCUACAUGGGGAAGCCUGGUAUGAGGGUUUGUAAAGAGAUGCAGCCCUUAACCCCAGCCUGUGCAAUGUGGCCACCCUGGGAUGGCUGGAAGAGACUGCAAGAAUGAUGAGAUCCUCAGGAAAACAAGCUUUUUGCUUGGACAGAACCAGAAAUGAAGACAAAAUCAGGUACUCCCAAUAAGAUAUUUGUUUAGUCCAGAAGGCUUUCUGGAGGAAAUCCUGAGGCUUUGAGACCUAAAAAGGUAGAGAGGGACUUGGAGGGAACAGUUAAUUUCCUUCUUCUAAAUGCCUGCUAUUAAUUAUUUGGAAUAACAGUCACUUAAGAAGCAAUGAAGGACAUUCCUGCCCAGUGACAAUGAGCUGCCGCUCUGAACAACAACCCACUAAAAGCAGCUUCUUUCAAUUCUGAAGCCCACAACCCUUGAUUUGAGAAGCAAGGAAAGACAUGCCAUGCUCAACCUUCUCUGCACUGACUAAUGAUAAAAUCAGAUUUGCCCAUUUCCUCUCAGUGGAAAAGAUCCACCAGACACUGCUGAUCACUUUCCAUC